rnacentral:rRNA from 1 species
UCAGUAGGCGGGUGGGGUGGGGUGGGGUGGCGGCGGCGUAAGCGUCCGCAGGCGGGGGGCGCAGGCGGCGUCUCAGCGGUUAGGGGAGGGCUCUCGGGGGCGGGGCAGCCGAGGGCGGCCGCGGCCACCCACCCCUAAGGCCAGGGCACAAAUAACGAGACUAAGCCCGGGCCUAAGAGGGGCCUAACGCAAAGGAAACUACCCCGGCGGCGGCGGCGACGAGGCCGAGCCCCAGACUAAGACUAAGACUAAGCCCGCCUUCCAUCUCUAACAGCAGAAAAAUAACUCGCGGGGGACGGGACCAAAGAGACGGCGAUAACCUAACUAAACCCUAGGCGCUAGCUCUAACGAGGCACUUCAAAAACCAGGAUCCCUAUAAAAAACUGACCGGGCCUAGUCCUUAUCUCCCAAGAGAACGACCCCCCUCCCUCUAGAUCCCAACGCAGAAGAUAUCAAGAGAAACACGUACACGUAUGAGGUAUCUUUUUUUGUGGUUUUUUUUCUCCCCCACUCCUCCUCCUCAACCUCCUCGUCCUCCUCCUCCUAACCUCGCGUCCCCUUAAACCUCCAAUAAUACCGCGACUUAAUAGGCAGCACGAGUAAGAACCACUCGCUGCUCACGAGACGGGACUACUCCCCCACACCUACGACCAGCCUCCUCCGGAGUGGGGAGAGCAGGGGUCCCCAGUUGAGGUCCGCGACCCUACUAAAGCUCGGGCUGGGACGCCUAGAUAACGGACGCCUAGGGAAGCCCUACUUGAACCCCUUGUGGUAGUGACGUCGGUAGCGGUCAACGGAGCUGGAGUGCCAGUACAGACCACGUCCCGCAAAACCUUCGUCACUGCCACCGUGCCGGCUGAACUCAAAAAUGGACUUAGUACGAUAACGGCAGAGGGCCCCCGGUAGUAGAAUGGAGGGCCCACCGAAGCCCGCACGAAAACUCCCCGGGAAACACAAACCUCCGGAAAUACUCCGGCCUCCGCGGUUGACGACAGUUCCCAACGGAGGGGAACACAGGACGAGUGCGAGUUAACAUGGACCUCUCCUAGGUAGAUGAAGACCGUCACGACGUAACAACACGGCACUACCUCAACUACGGUACCCUCGCAGGACGAGUGCGGGUUAACAUGGACCUCUCCUAGGUAGAUGAAGACCGUCACGACGUAACAACACGACACUUCCUCAACUACGGCACCCUCGCAGGACGAGUGCCGGUUAACAUGGACCUCUCCUAGGUAGAUGAAGAACGUCACGACGUAACCACACGGCACUACCUCAACUACGGCAUCCCCGCAGUACGAGUGCCGGUUAACAUGGGCAUCUCCUAGGUAGAGGAAGACCGUCACGACGUAACCACACGACACUACCUCAACUACGACACCCUUCACGUGGUGUACUGCCCUACUACAUGCGAGAACGGAUAGAACCCGAAGCACUGUAGGAUCGAUGUCUCUACCACACGUUCAGAAACGUAAGCACCUAGGCGUCGCUCAAUAGCACCUUCACAUAGGUGUAACUUGGCCAUAACUCGCCCUUCUAGAGACUAGGACUAGAAGAUAAAGACUGUGUCUUCUAAGGUCCACUAAACGUCACAGAUUUAUAUUUACUGACGUAUUUAUAGUGGCUGUUACCAAACUUACGACAAGAGGUUUCGUUAGGCUGCAAUUGUUUCAACUCAUAACGUGCGACGGGCGCCAAUUGAAACCUACCGGAAUAACGGUUAGAUUUCAGUAAAUUAUACUUUCGUCACAGCCCAUAAUUCUCGGAGUCUUAACUGUUUUUGAAGUUAAAUGGUUUUCUCCUAAUACUCCUCAAUAAUAGGAACAACUCGUAGCUGUUCUCUGUCCUCAACGUGUUGGCCCGAGGCGCUAAGGCAGUAAGAUUAGUAAAAAAUAAUCUAACGUUACUGCCUAUACGAGAACUAUAACUCUACACGGGGUAGACAGUUUCAAUGUUUGAACAAAAACUGACGGGACUUCACCUCACGUCACUGUUCUCUAGACCGUUUACGGCUCGUACACUCCAAACGUAGUUCUCUACGGCCGUCACACCUUCCACGAAUCUUGCUUUACUCUUCAAACUUCUCUUUAAACUAGACCAGAUGGAAACGAUGUUCACAGCUCCGCUAGGCCGAAGUGGUAGAGAGCCACACCUUUUCCUAGACCAGAGGUAAAAUAGGUCACCUUCUUAUGGAAGAGGAACUGGUACCUCCUCGUUGUCAGGUACAGGUCGGUAAGUCGGUAGAAAGAAUCGUAAUGACUACUUCCUUUUUUUUUCUUUUUUUUAUAUAUCAAACGAUAAGUACUUCCACACACCAGCAAACUGUCUACCAUGUAAACGAACGUUCUUUUUGUUUUUUUCUACAAUGAUUAAGGUCGUCUUUAUUUCCCUACUAAGGGUGAUAAUGUCGGAGUGGUCGCUGUUGCUCCCUACAAAGAAGUACCUCAAACGUCAAGUUCUCACAUAUCCAUCUCCCACACCAACCACAGCCACACAACGAACUACGACGUAGAAGGACACUUCUUCUGACUUCUACUUGAAUAAGGAACCGAAGGUUCAUAUAAUAUAGACAUAUACGCACUGUAACAUUAUCAAACAGGACCUAUGCAGAACAACAUACUGAACCAUUGAACAAAGUAUCUUUAUUUAUUUAGUUACUGAAGAUUGAUAUGAUAGUG